AAGCAUAAAUGCCCUAAAGGCACCAGAUAUCAUCUGAUCUUGGAAGCUAAGUAGGGCCAGCCCAGUUAGUGUUUGGAUUAGAGAUAAUCAAUUAAUUCCAGAGGAAGGAACUGGCCAAAUUGCAUC
rnacentral:rRNA from 11 species